rnacentral:rRNA from 1 species
CCUACGGGAGGCAGCAGUGAGGAAUAUUGGUCAAUGGACGGAAGUCUGAACCAGCCAUGCCGCGUGCAGGAUGACGGCUCUAUGAGUUGUAAACUGCUUUUGUACGAGAAUAAUAGUUCUUACGUGUAGGGAUUUGACUGUAUCGUACGAAUAAGGAUCGGGUAACUCCGUGACAGCAGCCGCGGUAAUACGGAGGUUUCGAGCGUUAUCCGGAUUUAGUGGGUUUAAAGGGUGCGUAGGGUGGUGGAUAAGUUAGAGGGUAAAUGGCGGGGCUUAACCCCGUGCCUGCCUCUGAUACUGGUGGACUAGAGAGCGGAUGCAGAAGGUGGAAUGAGUAGUGUAGCGGUGAAAUGCGUAGAUAUUA